AUAUGGAAAAGGAAAUUAGGUCGUGGGAUUCCAGCAACCUUUCUUCCUCAACCCGAAAGCUCAACUGUCUAACACCCCCCGCAAGCUAAGCAUGAUCGUCGAUGAUGCUUAGCUUGGAGAGUAGGUGUUGUAUACGACGAACUGAGAGAGCUUUUGUCAAAAGAUCUGCAGGUUGAUCAACCGAUUUCAGGUUCCCGAUGAGCAGAUAUGGCAGCACUAAAAUGUAUAUUAGAUGCAGUAGAAUGAUCAUGUAUGGAAGAUGAAACAAUAUCACAAUGAUAAUCUGAUAAGCAAGCUGGAGGAUAUGCUUCCCAGAAUUUGAGAAGAAAUAGAGUUGGUUAUCCAUGUCUUUAUCAAGCUGUUGGCUUGUUUCCACAGCAGAUAAGAAGGAUCAUGAAGUUCUGGAA